rnacentral:rRNA from 1 species
GAGCGUUCUGUAAGCCUGCGAAGGUGUCUUGUGAAGGAUGCUGGAGGUAUCAGAAGUGCGAAUGCUGACAUGAGUAGCGAUAAUGGGGGUGAAAAGCCUCCACGCCGUAAGCCCAAGGUUUCCUGUUCAACGUUCAUCGGAGCAGGGUGAGUCGGCCCCUAAGGCGAGGCAGAGAUGCGUAGCUGAUGGGAAGCAGGUUAAUAUUCCUGCACCGUCGUAUGAUGCGAUGGGGGGACGGAUCGCGGAAGGUUGUCUGACUCUUGGAAUA